UUAUCCACUGCACCACCUCCCAGACCACACUACUUUCUUUUUCUUUCUUUUAUUUUUUAAAAAUAUUUUAUUUGUUUAUUAAUGAGAAUGAUAGGCGGAGAAAGAGAAAGAACCAGACAUCACUCUGGUACAUAUGCUGCCGGGGAUUACCUCGUGCUUGGGAGUCCAAUGUUUUAUCCACGGUGCCACCUCCCAUCCCGGACCACUCUACUUUCUAUAUAUAAGACAAAUUGAGAGGGAAGGAGGAGAUCGGAGAUCGGGAGGAAGAGAAAGACACCUGCAGCUCUGCUUCAUCACUCCUGAAGCUUCCCUCCUGCCCGGUGGAGCGUGGGGGUUCGAACCCGGGGCCUUGCACACUGCAAUGUGCGCGCUCUGCCAGGUGCGCCACCACCCGGCCCUUGCACGCAUCCACUUUGCACACGAAUCUACAAACUGGCCAAGUCCGCACUUCGGUUUCUUUUCUGGCGGUUUCCAGCUCCCUCCGCUGCCCGCAGUGCGCCCGCCCGCGCUGUCCGUCUGGCAGCGGGUUAGGACGCACAGACGGCCGCGUGCAACAUACGUGGCGAGAGACCCCGCUGCAGAGGGGAGCGGCGCGCACGCUACGGGUAGGAGCCUCGGACGGGCUCGUCGUUCAGGCCGCGCCUCUGGCCGCGGUGCUCGAACCCCACUGCCACCGCCGCCGCCACCGCCACCGCCACCGCCGCGGUCCCCCGCGCGUCCAGGCGUCGCCGUCCUGCAGCCUCCGGGGCGGCCGCGGGGGGGCGCUGUGGUGCGCAGGCGCGGCCAGGCAGACGCUCUAGCUGCCGCGCCGCCUCUCCUUCCGCCCUCCCGGCGACUCCCGCGCGACGCGUGCGCACUCGGUGACCUUUCCGAGUCGUCGGCUGUGCGGCAACGGCGGCCUGAGCCCGGGUCCGGCGUCGAGAUGCUGCAAAGCUUUAUGAAAAAUGUUUGGACCCCCCUGCGGCCCUACUACACCCAGGUUUACCAGGAGAUCUGGAUAGGAAUGGGCUUGAUGGGCUUCAUUGUUUAUAAGAUCAGGAGUGCAGGACAAAAGGGAGAGGAGAGAGAGACGCUGUUCAUGAAGCUUCUCUCCUGGAGCUAGAGAGUGGGUGCUUGAAUCCCAGUCCUUGCACAUGGGAACUAGUGCACUCAGGUGCACCACUGCACAGACCCCUCAAAAAUCUGUCUCCUCUCCCUCUCCAUUUUGUCCUAUCAAAUUAUAAUAAUGAUAUAAUAAAACCAAAGUUACUGGUUCUCAGUAGAACAGAGAUGAGACCCAGUGGAGCAUGAAUGAACCGCUGACUUAAGAGUUUACUGUAGUUCAUUUGCUGUUCCUCUGGGAGCAGCAUAUCCUUCCAGUGGCUUUAAUGUCAUUGUUGGUUUCAGCAGUGAGUUGACAAAAAGCGUUUUUGUGAGCCAUUGAUAUAACCAAUCUUUUCUUCUUUAUUUUAGAUAAGAAAAGUAAAGCUUUGAAAGCCUCUAAGCAGACUACGGGCCAUGGCCAUCACUAGCAGCUGCCCCGGGAGUGUGUGCAGAUGGUGGGACGUCCGCCUGGCCGUGCCCUGCGGCACGCCGCGUUAGACGGGGGCCUGGGUAUUGUACAAGAGUGAAUAAAGGUUGUUGUGAGUCGCCCUUCCUGCUCGGGUCCUACUUUGAA